rnacentral:piRNA from 1 species
UCAAACAGCGACUUAGUGAUGGAACUC